AUCUUCGUUUUUCUUCCUAUUUUUCGCCCUCUCAAAAACUUGCGGUUACUUGUUUAGUCAACAACUUUUUUUGCUUCUGCUUCUGCGCGAUUCAAUAAAUUGAAUUCGAGACCCUCAUCUCAACGUGAGCAUCUCGUUGCCCCGUCC
ensembl:ncRNA F29F11.14 ncRNA